CCUCUCUUCAGGGUCCCAUACACGAACACGUGGGCCAUGCGGGCCAGAGAUGCUUCUGAAAUACAAUGCUCUCUUCCAGGGUAGUCUGCUUAUUCAGAAACUUCUGGCUUCCUCCUAGGAGUUGGUUCAGGGAAAUAAGGCAUUUUGGGAAAAUGAGGGCAAACUGCAGGAACUCUCCAUAUUAGCAUUUCAAUAAACUGAAUGAGACCAGGGAACACAGUCU